ACACGCUGGCGGCGUGCCUAAUACAUGCAAGUCGAACGGUCUUUUCUAUGGAAGCUUGCUUCCACUGAGAAGAUAGUGGCGAACGGGUGAGUAACACGUGGGUAACCUGCCCAUAAGAGGGGGAUAACAUCCGGAAACGGGUGCUAAUACCGCAUAGUUUCUUGAUCGCAUGAUUGAGAAAGGAAAGACGGCCUUUGCGCUGUCGCUUAUGGAUGGACCCGCGGCGUAUUAGUUAGUUGGUGAGGUAACGGCUCACCAAGACGAUGAUACGUAGCCGACCUGAGAGGGUGAUCGGCCACAUUGGGACUGAGACACGGCCCAAACUCCUACGGGAGGCAGCAGUAGGGAAUCUUCCGCAAUGGACGAAAGUCUGACGGAGCAACGCCGCGUGAGUGAAGAAGGUUUUCGGAUCGUAAAACUCUGUUGUCAGAGAAGAACAAGUUGGAGAGUAACUGCUCCAGCCUUGACGGUAUCUGACCAGAAAGCCACGGCUAACUACGUG
rnacentral:rRNA from 1 species